GAUGAACGCUGGCGGCGUGCCUAAUACAUGCAAGUCGAGCGAACAGACGAGGAGCUUGCUCCUCUGACGUUAGCGGCGGACGGGUGAGUAACACGUGGAUAACCUACCUAUAAGACUGGGAUAACUUCGGGAAACCGGAGCUAAUACCGGAUAAUAUAUUGAACCGCAUGGUUCAAUAGUGAAAGACGGUUUUGCUGUCACUUAUAGAUGGAUCCGCGCCGCAUUAGCUAGUUGGUAAGGUAACGGCUUACCAAGGCAACGAUGCGUAGCCGACCUGAGAGGGUGAUCGGCCACACUGGGACUGAGACACGGCCCAGACUCCUACGGGAGGCAGCAGUAGGGAAUCUUCCGCAAUGGGCGAAAGCCUGACGGAGCAACGCCGCGUGAGUGAUGAAGGUCUUCGGAUCGUAAAACUCUGUUAUUAGGGAAGAACAAAUGUGUAAGUAACUAUGCACGUCUUGACGGUACCUAAUCAGAAAGCCACGGCUAACUACGUG
rnacentral:rRNA from 1 species